rnacentral:rRNA from 1 species
UCAUGGCUCAGGACGAACGCUGGCGGCGUGCCUAAUACAUGCAAGUCGUACGCUUCUUUUUCCACCGGAGCUUGCUCCACCGGAAAAAGAAGAGUGGCGAACGGGUGAGUAACACGUGGGUAACCUGCCCAUCAGAAGGGGAUAACACUUGGAAACAGGUGCUAAUACCGUAUAACAAUCGAAACCGCAUGGUUUUGAUUUGAAAGGCGCUUUCGGGUGUCGCUGAUGGAUGGACCCGCGGUGCAUUAGCUAGUUGGUGAGGUAACGGCUCACCAAGGCCACGAUGCAUAGCCGACCUGAGAGGGUGAUCGGCCACAUUGGGACUGAGACACGGCCCAAACUCCUACGGGAGGCAGCAGUAGGGAAUCUUCGGCAAUGGACGAAAGUCUGACCGAGCAACGCCGCGUGAGUGAAGAAGGUUUUCGGAUCGUAAAACUCUGUUGUUAGAGAAGAACAAGGAUGAGAGUAACUGUUCAUCCCUUGACGGUAUCUAACCAGAAAGCCACGGCUAACUACGUGCCAGCAGCCGCGGUAAUACGUAGGUGGCAAGCGUUGUCCGGAUUUAUUGGGCGUAAAGCGAGCGCAGGCGGUUUCUUAAGUCUGAUGUGAAAGCCCCCGGCUCAACCGGGGAGGGUCAUUGGAAACUGGGAGACUUGAGUGCAGAAGAGGAGAGUGGAAUUCCAUGUGUAGCGGUGAAAUGCGUAGAUAUAUGGAGGAACACCAGUGGCGAAGGCGGCUCUCUGGUCUGUAACUGACGCUGAGGCUCGAAAGCGUGGGGAGCAAACAGGAUUAGAUACCCUGGUAGUCCACGCCGUAAACGAUGAGUGCUAAGUGUUGGAGGGUUUCCGCCCUUCAGUGCUGCAGCUAACGCAUUAAGCACUCCGCCUGGGGAGUACGACCGCAAGGUUGAAACUCAAAGGAAUUGACGGGGGCCCGCACAAGCGGUGGAGCAUGUGGUUUAAUUCGAAGCAACGCGAAGAACCUUACCAGGUCUUGACAUCCUUUGACCACUCUAGAGAUAGAGCUUCCCCUUCGGGGGCAAAGUGACAGGUGGUGCAUGGUUGUCGUCAGCUCGUGUCGUGAGAUGUUGGGUUAAGUCCCGCAACGAGCGCAACCCUUAUUGUUAGUUGCCAUCAUU